UACGUAGGAUCCGAGCGUUGUCCGGAUUUACUGGGUGUAAAGGGUGCGCAGGCGGGCUGGUGAGUCUGGGGUGAAAUCUCGCCGCUUAACGGCGAAACUGCCUUAGAUACUAUCAGUCUUGAAUCAGCGAGAGGUUCGUGGAAUUCCGAGUGUAGCAGUGAAAUGUGUAGAUAUUCGGAAGAACACCAGUGGCGAAGGCAGCGAACUGGCGCUCGAUUGACGCUCAGGCACGAAAGCAUGGGGAUCAAACAGG
rnacentral:rRNA from 1 species